rnacentral:rRNA from 1 species
UACAGAGGUCUCAAGCGUUGUUCGGAUUCAUUGGGCGUAAAGGGUGCGUAGGCGGCGCGGUAAGUCGGGUGUGAAAUUUCGAGGCUUAACUUCGAAACUGCAUUCGAUACUGCCGUGCUUGAGGACUGGAGAGGAGACUGGAAUUUACGGUGUAGCGGUGAAAUGCGUAGAUAUCGUAAGGAAGACCAGUGGCGAAGGCGGGUCGUCGUGGACAGUUCCUGACGCUGAGGCACGAAGGCCAGGGGAGCAAACGGG